rnacentral:lncRNA from 1 species
CUUCACUCCGCUCCAGCCCCGGUACUGCGGUCUGUGGUAAUUUACAUGGGAAUGGGAUGAGAUCUAGUAGUUUUAGAUCCGAUGCAAUUUUGGGAAGGGUUAGUAAUAAACCAAAACUCAAUCUAUGCAGUAUUUAAAAAAUAAUUGAGAGUUGUGACAACUUCGAUUCUUUUCAGGAGGUGAGGGGAAGAGGCCCAGGGAUUUCUUCCUUGUCUGACACUCUCAGGACUAGCAUUCUGGCAGGUCUUAGAAGUUAUAAUACAAAACCAUCAGUUAAAUUCUAAUCACGACUGUGUAGUUC